GGGGCGUUGCUGAAGGCUCUGGCCGAGGAUGUUCACACUGCUGGUGCUGCCCGGGCCGCAAGGAAGUGCGGCAGCCUUGGCUCGUGGGUUCCUUCUAUGCCCGACCGGGUCGCGCCACUGUCCCGCGUGGAAAGAAAACCACACAGAGAUCCAGAGAGGAGCAGAGGACGGCCCGCUGCCAGGGUCACCUUUCCGUGGCUCUCUUCAGGAGGUGACUUUCAGGCAGGAAGGGGCUCAUCCUGACACCGGCCCGUUGUUAGAGGGGAAACGGCACAUAAAUCUCGGGCACGGGCUCAGCGGAACGAUUCCUGCCAUCAGAAAUGAAGAUCAGCCUGUUUGUCUCCGAAAGCGAAAGCGCCGCCGAGAAAUCCGGAGCGGGACGACAGCUCGUUAUCUGCAAAUGAAUCUCCUGCUCUAACAUCG
rnacentral:lncRNA from 7 species